rnacentral:tRNA from 1 species
GCGAGCGUGGCGAAAUGGCAGACGCGCAGGUCUCAGAAGCCUGUGGGGGCAACCCCGUGGAAGUUCAAGUCUUCUCGCUCGCACCA